rnacentral:rRNA from 1 species
GAUGAACGCUGGCGGCGUGCUUAACACAUGCAAGUCGAACGGAAAGGCCCUGCUCUUGCGGGGUGCUCGUGUGGCGAACGGGUGAGUAUCACGCGUGUAUCCCGCCCUUGACUUUGGGAUAACUUUAGGAAAAUGGGGCUAUUACCGGAUAGGAGCUCCUGAUGCAUGGUGGGGGUUGGAAAGUUUCGGCGGUUGGGGAUGGACUCGCGGCUUCUCAGCUUGUUGGUGGGGUAGUGGCUUACCAAGGCUUCGACGGAUAGCCGGCCUGGGAGGGUGGCCGGCCACAUGAGUACUAAGGGACGCACCAGACGCGAACGGUACGCAGCGGUGGAGAGUAUUACGGAGUGAGCGGGAGCCAGUGACGACGGCGCCGCGAUCGUGAAAACGGCCUACGGGUGAAGAACCGCUGUCGCCUGAGACGUGGCGUGAGUGACGGUAAUGAAUAAGGAAGCACCGGCUAACUACGUG